GCCAGGUAUGGUGGCAUACGCCUGUAAUCCCAGCAGUUUAGGAGGCUGAGGCAGGGGGAUUGUGAGUUCAAAGCCAGCCUCAGCAAAACAAAGUGCUAAGCAACUCAGUGAGAUCCUGUCUCUA
rnacentral:sRNA from 1 species